UGUGUGUGUUGCAUUUUCGUUUGUGUUUUGUUCACUUGAGUAUUUCUGGCGUUUCGUUGUUUUUCUCUUAUAGUUGAUGUGUUUCCCUCGAUUUUAGUUUGAAUCCAGAUUUGUUUUUGUCUCAAUUGAUAUAUUACUUUUGAACAGCUGUAUACUUCUGUUGCCUUUAUUCAAGCGACUAUAUAUUUUUUUUUAAACAUUUCAAUUAUGGCACUCUCAACGAAGCUACUUUGACACAUAAUUGUUAUUCCACAUUUCUUUUUUUCAUUUUUGUAUUUUUUGUCCACUCAUUUGUC
rnacentral:lncRNA from 1 species